rnacentral:rRNA from 1 species
CAAUAGCGUAUAUUUAAGUUGUUGCAGUUAAAAAGCUCGUAGUUGGAUUUCUGCUGAUCGCUGUCGGUCUGCCGUCAGGUGUGUACUGGCAGUGUUUGGCAUCUAUUCGAGAUUGGGUGUCCACUUGAUUGUGUGCACUCGAUGUCGGAGCUAAUACUUUGAGAAAAUUAGAGUGUUCCACGCAGGCGCGUGCCUUGAAUACUGCAGCAUGGGAUAUUGGAAGGCCGAUUGAGCUUUCUUGUUGGUUCUCGGUUUGAUCGGAAUGAUUAAUAGGGAUAGUUGGGGGCAUUCGUAUUCAACUGUCGGAGGUGAAAUUCUUGGAUUUGUUGAAGACGGACUACUGCGAAAGCAUCUGCCAUGGAUGUUCUCAUUGA